GGAGUUUGGUCCGUGUCUCAGUACCAAUGUGGGGGACCUUCCUCUCAGAACCCCUACUGAUCGUCGGCAUGGUGGGCCGUUACCCCGCCAUCAACCUAAUCAGACGCAUCCCCAUCCCUUAGCGAUAAAUCUUUAUUCCACUUCUGAUGUCAUCGACGGAAAACAUAGGGUAUUAAUCCGACUUUCGCCGGGCUAUGCCCUACUAAGGGGAAGGUUGGAUACGCGUUACUCACCCGUGCGCCGGUCGCCAGCAAGAUUAGCAAGCUAAUCUCCUGCUGCCCCUCGACUUGCAUGUGUUAAGCCUGUAGCUAGCGUUCAUC
rnacentral:rRNA from 1 species